GAACUUAAGCAUAUCAAUAAGCGGAGGAA
rnacentral:ncRNA from 2 species